UACGUAGGGCGCAAGCGUUGUCCGGAAUUAUUGGGCGUAAAGAGCUCGUAGGCGGUCUGUUGCGUCCGCUGUGAAAACUCGGGGCUUAACCCCGAGCCUGCAGUGGAUACGGGCAGACUAGAGGUAGGUAGGGGAGAAUGGAAUUCCCGGUGUAGCGGUGAAAUGCGCAGAUAUCAGGAAGAACACCCGUGGCUAAGGCGGCUCUCUAGUACGGUACUGACGCUGAGACGCGAAAGCGUGGGGAGCGAACAGG
rnacentral:rRNA from 1 species